rnacentral:rRNA from 2 species
UACGUAGGGGGCGAGCGUUGUCCGGAAUUAUUGGGCGUAAAGAGCGUGUAGGCGGUUCGGUAAGUCUGCCGUGAAAACCCAGGGCUCAACCCUGGGCGUGCGGUGGAUACUGCCGGGCUAGAGGGUGGUAGAGGCGAGUGGAAUUCCCGGUGUAGCGGUGAAAUGCGCAGAUAUCGGGAGGAACACCAGUAGCGAAGGCGGCUCGCUGGGCCAUACCUGACGCUGAGACGCGAAAGCGUGGGGAGCAAACAGG